GACGAACGCUGGCGGCGUGCUUAACACAUGCAAGUCGAGCGGAGCGGCGAACGGGUGAGUAACACGUGAGUAACUGCCCCCCUCUAUGGGACAACAGUUGGGAACGGCUGCUAAUAACGGAUAGUGGGGGAUGACUCGCGGCCUAUAGGCUUGUUGGUGGGGUAGUGGCUUACCAAGGCGACGACGGGUAGCCUGCCUGAGAGGGCGACCGGCCACAUUGGGCUGAGAUAGGGACCAAGAGCCUACGUGAGGCAAGGGUGGGGAAUAUUUCACAACGAGGGAACCUGUGAUGAAGCGAUUCGCGUGCGUGAUGACGGCCUUCGGGUGGUAAACCGCUUUCAGCCAUGAAGCGGUAGUUGCAGAAGAAGCACCGGCUAACUACGGUCCAGCAGCCGCGGUAAUUC
rnacentral:rRNA from 1 species